CUGGGCAAAAAUCUCAUCUCACGUCACCCAAAGCUGCAGUCUACGGUUCUCCACUGUUAUUUACUUGAAGACCCUUUACUUAUCAUCCAGUCAUACCAUAUAAACCACCCACUAGUUCCAUCAAUUAAACAAUGUUCACCCAAGCAAAAGAACAAUGGAUCAUAGACGGGGAAUUAGUUUCUUAUUUUAAUUUUAGUAUCAUUUUCCCUUCAGAAAAUUAUACUUGUCAAUAAUCAUACAUUUUCAACAAAACACGGCAGCAUUUCUUAAAAUUAUGCCGGAUAACAUAAAUUCAGAGAAAGAACGAAAGCUGUUCAAAGUGCUAAAUUAGUGUGUAUAACAAAUUGUGAUGUACUGUAAACAUUGUGAUCUAAUUUAAAAUUUUGAAGUCAAGAGUUGGAUGUCAAUAGCAAGAAAAGGAAAAACAAAUAGAAGAGCAAUAUCAUAAUUCUUUCCAGCGGAAAAUACCAGACCAGAUAGAAGGCAUAUGACUCAACCUACAAUUAUAAGAUCAAUUUCUUCACAAAUGAAGCUCUAAAGGGGCAGUAUAUGAAGUUAACUAGAAUCAAACAAUUGCAACUCUACUUUGUUCAUUGAUAUAAUGCAAUGCUUUGUUUCUUCGUUCCUGUUAAUAGCUUCAACAGUAAACCCUUUCCUCAAGAUUCUUUAACUGAGAAUUGUAUCAAAUGCACGCUUUGCUGCUUUCUUGAUAGUGGAGUGAAAAUUUACUCAUCCAUAAAACUAGAAUUGAAAGAAUUAUAUACCUCGCUUUUAUCACCAGCAUUCUCACUUAAUAAUCAACUCAAUUCUAUUUAAUAGAAGCAACAGUCUAUAGUAUUACUUAUCAACAAAAACAACAAACCAUCAUAAAAAGGCCAAUCCGCUUCAUCCAGAACAUAAGCAGGAUACAUUUCCCGUCUCACUACAAGCAUCUGUCUCGUGUAACACCCAUUUCAGGCCACUGGAUAAAACAAUGUCUUAUCAUUUUUAUAAAAUUUUAGCAAUUACCUUCCCAAAAUCCAACGGACAAGAAACACCUGCACACACAGGAAUUUGCAUUCCGUGACCAGUAAGAUGAAUUUGUUCUAGUUCUCGAAAUUCAGUACUCUUAACAAUGGCUAUCCAUUCUAAUAAUCAGAUUAACCAGCUGCUGUCACUCUGAAAAACCAACAAGAAAACAAGCAUAAAAGAAGU